rnacentral:pre_miRNA from 1 species
UUACUACUCCCUCCGUUCGGAAAUACUUGUCGUCAAAAUGGAUAUAAAUAGAUGUAUCUAGAAUUAAAAUACAUCUAGAUACAUCCAUUCCUCGGACAAGUAUUUCCAGACGGAGGGAGUAGUAU